UGGGACUGACAAUGAGCAACAAAUGUCUUCCUGUUUAAAACACGGUCUUCCGGCGUCAUUUGUUUGUAACGUGUUGCCGGCGUCGGAAGGCUGGAAUUGCUAGCGGUACAUCGGUCGUUGAGCGUGAAUCGCUUCAGACAAACUCUGGGUGGCAGCCAGUAGCGUUAGCAUUCAUCGCCAGCUGUGCAAGAGUAUGCCGAAAGCCUGUCCCCCUCCUACCUCGGCUCACCUCUUGUGAUGACCGGUCAUUGACUUUUUAAGGCCUUCGAAUUGUGGGCAAGGGGUUCUGACCACUGUUUUCUCCGUGUUUUGUUUGAGUUCUAGUAUCGUAGCCAGUCAUGUUUUUCUUUUAGUUUGGGGUUGUUGAUAUCGUGUCUGUGUGUGGGUGUGUGGGCGUGCGUCUUCGUACGGGCAGGCGCUUUGUCUGUUUUUUUGGUUUGUUUUGGGUUUUCUUAAUUUCUUAUAUAUUUUGCCCCGUUCUUCUCUCUUUGUCCAUCUACGGCCUGCGGCCUACUGAACUUCAUCUAGUCAGCCAAACCUGUGUGGUAGCCUGCUUUGUGUGAGCACCUGUUAGUGUGGGUUGACAAUUGCUGUGUAUCCUCGUGUGAUGAAAUUACUUCCUUAGAUAGAAUGGUGUGUAGUUCGAAGUAACCUUGUGUGACUUAUAGCUUAGUCCAUCACUUCCCAGCUUGAUUCUAUAGAGGUUGCGGUCUGACUGAGAUGUA